CGUACACUCCUGCGGGAGGCAGCAGUAGGGAAUCUUCCACAAUGGGUGCAAACCUGAUGGAGCAAUGCCGCGUGAGUGAAGAAGGUCUUCGGAUCGUAAAGCUCUGUUGUUAGAGAAGAACACGUGCUAGGUAACUACUAGCGCCUUGACGGUAUCUAACCAGAAAGUCACGGCUAACUACGUGCCAGCAGCCGCGGUAAUACGUAGGUGACAAGCGUUGUCCGGAUUUAUUGGGCGUAAAGGGAGCGCAGGCGGUCUGUUUAGUCUAAUGUGAAAGCCCACGGCUUAACCGUGGAACGGCAUUGGAAACUGACAGACUUGAAUGUAGAAGAGGAAAAUGGAAUUCCAAGUGUAGCGGUGGAAUGCGUAGAUAUUUGGAGGAACACCAGUGGCGAAGGCGAUUUUCUGGUCUAACAUUGACGCUGAGGCUCGAAAGCGUGGGGAGCGAACAGGAUUAGAUACCCCGGUAGUCCCA
rnacentral:rRNA from 1 species